UCUCAUUUCUAGUUUCAUGGAUGUAUCCUUUGGCUUCUCCAUGAGAUAAUGAAGUUCUUAAAAGUGGGAGUGUCAUUUACACUCCUACCUGCAGACAGCACCCGAUACAGAGUAUAAAGCAUUGGCUGAAUGUGUGAAUCUUAGUUCCCACUUUUCCCCUUAGCAUCCUGACUACAGAUGCCCAGAACACACAUGGUGAAUUUGACUGAAAUGAAGCACUCUGUGCCUGCCCCACAAACCACCAAGGGACUGUGGGUUUAUUUGUCUCAAGACGGUCAACACUGCUGUUUUCAUUUUUUACUCGCUGUCAAAUAUAAAGAGAUAUCAUA
rnacentral:sRNA from 1 species